UAUUUUUUUUGGCACGGCGUCGUUUGGAAAGUGCACUUCAUUGUUCUGACCUUGCCUUUUAUGGGCUGGAGCGAUAUGAUACGUAAUAUGCCACGGCGAAGUUGUCGAAGAUACGACGGUGCUACGCUGUUAGAACAAUUCAUCGGAGCAUUCAAGUGUUACCUAUUAUAAGCUGCCAAAAGUGCAAAGCUCUUGGCUGACAGUGGUGCCUGCUAAUUUCCACAGCAAGGAUUUCGUCCACGAACGUUAUCAUAGGUUACGCGCGUCUCCAGAGGCACUUUGGAAUCUCGGCAUGAAAUCGUCUGAUGAAAAUCUCAGGUGCCCGACGCACAACGUUUUGAACGUGUCACGGAGGAUCAAGGCAAAAAACGAGAGCAAAAAAGGUGCACGCUGAAGGCGGAAAUGAAGCAUGAUCUGGCUUGUAUCUGGUGCAUGAAGAAAUGGCUGACACGUUAGUUGCAGUCUACCUCCACCAAUAGGGUGGAAAACAAAGGUCCCCAUCCCGAUUAGCUGCUAUCUCCCAGUUCAAGCACUUCUGCUGUCUGGACACUGGUUCCUGUGGACGGGGUGUUACAAGCUUCACUGUCUGAUAUAGAAGUGAUGAGCGUCCAUAAGGACACAUGCCAGAAAGGGAGUCUCUUCGGGAUGACAAACCCUCAUCACCUCAUGAGGACACAAUGGUUGACGAAUGGUUCUCAAGCACAUUGAAACUUCAACAAAUAAUUCAUGAAAAAGCCAGUCAGUGCUAGCACCAGGAAUUGAACGUGGACUGUCCUGCUACCAGUCAGAGAUGUUACAUUUCAGGCGCUCAUUGACUUUUGGUGAAUUACUCGUUGACUUUGUCCCAAGGUGGAGCUCGCCACAGCUCAUUUGCUUAUCUGUUAAUGUUGUGGCGUGUGUUGCGUUUUUCUCUUUAUGUGUUCCAGACUCAGAACGGUUAAUUUGGAUCAGGUCAGGUACGUUUCAUUUAGGCAUGAAAAACAUAAAGUGGUGUUUCUCAACACAACUUAGCAGUGGCCUUCAUGCAUUACUGCUACGGCCAUUAAGCGUGAAUGGAAAGCUGCACAUUAUGCAUGAUGUAAAACCCCCAAGACUAGGGAACACGAAGGGACAGACACAGACACGUCCCUUUGUGUUCCCUAGUCUCGGGGUUUUACAUAUGCAUCAUCUUCACCAGCUCGCUUGCUUCCUAGCCAUUUUUUCUGCACAUUAUGUUCACUCUACUUUUAUCGUGUGCUAUAUAAUCUUGUUCAAGUUCUGUGAAAUGACGUGUAAUGCUAUAAAAAAAUUCAGUACACUGCUUAUGUGGGUUGAAUGGUAGCGCAUGAAUGCAGGAAGGAAACUGUCAUGUUAUGGCAAGUGUUUACGUAUUGUACAUUUAACUACUAAUUUUAUUGGUUAGCUUUUGCCGGCGUAUCAUGUCAAGCCAUGUUAUAUUAAUUUGGAACAUGUUCUUCUUAGUAACCGGAGCAGCUGAUACACAGUGAGAACACAGCCCAUGUGUGUUUGUCUUUUCCACCGCAGCCCUUGGGUUUCCUCCCUGAUGGCUACACAUGUCAGGGAUAGGUUUCAGAACCGGUAGUUCCCGCCAAGUGUGAAUUGCUUUUCAGGGGAUCAUCACGCUGGCAGAUGAACCAUAUGGUUUAAAUUAUUUGCAGGACAGGAGUUGUGUAGCUGCACCCAAAUAGUACUACUACGACGUAAGAGUGGUUUCAAAUCUAGCUUUUUUGUGUUCCUAACAUUAUCGCACAAGAUGUAGUAUCCAUUAUGAUCCUUUAUAUGGGGGUAUGUACACUGCAAUCAACAGAUGCUAUUUACAAAUCUGUGUUUUCUACUGUGUUGAAAUGGGGUAGUUUGUAUCUGAGAGCCAUAGUGAAACACAGGCAGCCAAGGACAGAUUUUUGAUGCCCUCGAGAAACAUGGCAACACAUUGCAGGGACUCUGGAUGCUGCCUAAAUUUCCAGAACACACAGCUCAAGGCAGCGGUUAAAUAACAAAUGGUUUGAGAAAUCCAAGACAGUUGCAUGUGUCAGCAGUCCACUGUUGGAUUAGCUUCUCUCCGAGAUACGUUAUCUCAAAGGGGACGCACGGGCACACUCAGAAUGAUACUAGGGCUGCCUGUGAAAUAGAAUGAGGAGAGGGGGAGAUAUAUAACCCUUUUUUCUUGUCUGUUAUUCUAUUGGUUAAAUUGUCAUUUGCUUAACAGCAUAUACGUGUAUAUUCCAGAGUCUGCUAAUAAAUAUAUCAGUUUAGAGCUAGCAGUCGCACUGUAGAUGUCUGCCCUUGGCUGCUUGUGUUUCACUAUGGCCAUGCUUGCUAUUGCAAAAACAGAAAACGAAAAAGACAAUAGAAAAACACGAAAAGAACGACCUAAAAAGCUGCCUGUUCUAGUGCUCACAUGGAGGCAAUGCAAUGAGGUAACAUGUUCCAUUCAUGAACUGUGCAUAGUAGUACAUAUCACAAUGGCAACCGAUUAUUCAGAUUUUUCUUGAAGUACUUUGUUUUUUGGAGCUUUGUUUGCACAGUCUAUUAUUGGAGCUUUAUGUGAUUCCCCUCUUGAGAUACUUUAAGAUUGCUGAUGCUGUGCAGUUUGUUAAUUUUGAAACUGUGCUGUGCUGAGGUACAAAAACAUAAUUGUCAUAUCUACAUUUGAGCACAUAGGAAUAAUUUGUAAGUACUUUCCUUGUUGACAUUAAUAUUUGCACCAGGUCACAACAUUGUUGAUUGAUGGAAAAUGUAAAUAAGUAUAUUUAUAUGCUUGCCAAACAAUGCACAAAUGAUUUCUUUUCUAGUGAGAUAUUCCCUGUUUACCAGACAUAAAUGCGGAAAAGUUAAAGGUGCACAAUGAUGGUAGAGUCUAGCGUUGCUUUUUGCCACUUCACAUAUAUUCACUGUUAUUCGUGUGCACAUGUAGGAAUAGGAAGGUAGAGCAAGUGCUUAAAAAAUUUUGUAUGCAGCCACACAUAUGGUUCAGAAGAUUAAUUAGAUGAUGUCCAAGCAUAUAUAAUUGUACUUUAUGUGCAAUGGGUAUGCUAACGGAUUGCUUCCAUGAAGCCUUUUCAUUUAUUUUUAUAAAUUUUAUUUUUUAUUUCAUAUAAAUUUUAUAUUACUUAUUGUAUACUUAUUUUUUUUAUAAAUCUUAUAACUAAAAAAAUGAAGUUACGCGGACCCUUUAGGAGUACCCUUUGCAAAUGGUUUGGUAACGUGUCUCUAACUUAGCUUUGGCGCUCUAUGACCCUAGUUGUCCGUGCGCCAUAAAAACCUGAAUAAUCAUCAUCAUCGUGUCUCUAACUGUAAAGGUAAGAGGCAAUCGAGAAUGCUGCAGACAAGGUUGCAACUUGCAUAUUGCUUAUCAUGUCCUACAUACAAAGCGAUUUGUACAAUAAUUCCUGAGCACGGAAUUAAUUCCAAGGCUGGCCAGUGAUGUCACCCAGGACGACAAGUCACAUAAUUGCCUCUACACUUUUACACCCCAUGGGCUGCAUUGUGAAUUGAACGAGCGCUCUACAGAAGGAUAAGGUGCACCUGAUUUCUAGGAUUUAUGCUAUGCCUAACUCUUCAGACACCACAUUUCUAAAAACACCAUUUCUAAGAGGCAAUAUGUGCUCUGGUACUUCUUUUGCGUCUGCAUAAUGUGCAACCACAUGGCUACUGGAGCUUUCGAGUGCAUGUUUUUGCGCGACGGUGCUCAUUACAAACAAUAUCCAGAUGUUAGACAUAAAAUGCAGUAGUUUGUAGCGUGCCACACAACGCAGCGUGACAUGGGAGUGUGUGAUUCAAAGAAAGCUUCUGGAAAAUGCACAGAAUCU